UACGGAGGGUGCAAGCGUUAAUCGGAAUUACUGGGCGUAAAGCGCACGCAGGUGGCUGAGUCAGUCGAUGGUGAAAGCCCGAGGCUCAACUUCGGGUCGGCCACUGAUACUGCUGGGCUUGAGUCGACUAGAGGCAGAUGGAAUUCCGGGUGUAGCGGUGGAAUGCGUAGAGAUCCGGAAGAACACCGGUGGCGAAGGCGGUUAGCUGGGCAGUUGCUGACACUGAGGCGCGACAGCGUGGGGAGCAAACAGG
rnacentral:rRNA from 1 species